AUAGAGGAUGAGAAUGCGCUGACAUAGUGAGGAGACGUCUGGGCGUCACAUUCUACAGACAGAAGUUUUAGCUGGACCAGGCGGAGGCAAGGAGUUAUUGUGUUGUCAGAAUAGUGAGAAUAACUGAAAACCAACCUCUCCCAUCUCCCACCUCUCAGGAGGGAUUCCCUGGAAUUUUUUGGCUGCAGUCCAAACAACAGAUGAUAAAAAUGGACCGGCGAAAGAGGCUUAUUAAAAGCAAAUAGCCCCCUGACAUGUUUCGCUCCUCA